rnacentral:rRNA from 1 species
UACGUAGGGUGCAAGCGUUGUCCGGAAUUAUUGGGCGUAAAGAGCUUGUAGGCGGUUUGUCGCGUCUGCUGUGAAAUUUCGGGGCUCAACCCCCGAACUUGCAGUGGGGUACGGGCAGACUAGAGUGUGGUAGGGGGAGACUGGAAUUCCUGGUGUAGCGGUGAAAUGCGCAGAUAUCAGGAGGAACACCGGUGGCGAAGGCGGGUCUCUGGGCAGUAACUGACGCUGAGGAGCGAAAGCGUGGGGAGCGAACAGG